rnacentral:lncRNA from 1 species
GUUUUAAAAUAAAUCUAAUUAUAGUACCCUUCAGUGUCAGUGAGUUCUGGGAGAAGACUGCUUCGACCUCAGAGUCAGGAAGCAGCUUGUACAUCAUAGGGACUCCCAGCAUAAAGUAAUGUCCAGAAACCAUGUUAAGUCCGAGAAACCACUGGGAGCCUGGGAAAGAUGAUUGUUCUACAGUGUGGAACAUUUGUCUGCAUGUCAGUAACUAUGGACAACUUUAAGUUAUUUUUCAAGGUUUAUUUUGCUUAUGUAUUUGAGGAGGUUCCCACAGAGGCAUGUUUGACGUGGGUGCUAGGAUCUGAACUCCAGUCCUCUGGUAGAGUACUGAAUGCCUUUUCCCCACUUGGAGACAGGAUCUCCCUAUGUAGGCCUGGCUAGCCUAGAAAGACCAGGCUGGCCUCUUGCUCAAGAUCGCUGUUUGCCGCUGCCUUCCUUGAGCUGGGGUAAGGCGUAUGCCACCACACCUAGUUGCUGUAAGCGCUCUUAACUGAUAAGUGUUUAGAUCUGUGUGAACACAAGCGUUUCUACCGAGAUCUUCCCUACUAGAUGAAGGUGAUUUUCAUAAUGGAGUCUGCACGACAAUAAGAACCCAGGACUUAUUAUUUUAACAGUAUAAUAAUAUUCUGACCCCACACAAUUCAGGUGCCUCUAAAAGUUGGGUCAAGGUUGCUAUUAAACUUCAUAUCCCUUUCAGAACAUUUUCUUUUGAGUUAUGAAAGAUUUAUUGUUGUGUGUACGGAUGUGUGCACCACAGGCAUGCAGUGUUUGCAGAGGCCAGGAGGGGGCUUCGCACCCACCACCCGUGCUGGAGGUGCAGGGGC